rnacentral:rRNA from 1 species
UACGUAGGGUGCGAGCGUUGUCCGGAAUUACUGGGCGUAAAGAGCUCGUAGGCGGUUCGGUAAGUCGGGUGUGAAAACUCUGGGCUCAACCCAGAGCCGCCACCUGAUACUGCUGUGACUCGAGUGCGGUAGGGGAGCGGGGAAUUCCUGGUGUAGCGGUGAAAUGCGCAGAUAUCAGGAAGAACACCCGUGGCGAAGGCGGCUCUCUGGGACGGUACUGACGCUGAGACGCGAAAGCGUGGGGAGCGAACAGG